rnacentral:rRNA from 1 species
ACGGGAGGCAGCAGUGAGGAAUAUUGGUCAAUGGGCGGAAGCCUGAACCAGCCAUCUCGCGUGCAGGACUACGGCCCUACGGGUCUUAAACUGCUUUUAUGGGGGGAUAAAGUCGGGCAUGCGUGUCCGUUUGCAGGUACCCCAUGAAUAAGGAUCGGCUAACUCCGUGCCAGCAGCCGCGGUAAUACGGAGGAUCCGAGCGUUAUCCGGAUUUAUUGGGUUUAAAGGGUGCGCAGGCGGCCCGUUAAGUCAGCGGUGAAAUGUCGGGGCUCAACCCGGGCACUGCCGUUGAAACUGGGGGGCUUGAGUACGGAUGAGGUCGGCGGAAUGUGACGUGUAGCGGUGAAAUGCAUAGAUAUGGCGAAGAACUCCGAUUGCGUAGGCAGCUGACCAGGCCGUAAAUGACGCUCAUGCACGAAAGUGCGGGGAUCGAACAGGAUUAGAUACCCUGGUA